rnacentral:lncRNA from 1 species
AAUGUUCAGUUCGAGUCAUCAGCUGUCCCUUUGGGUCUUUUAUCACUGCUUUUGUCAAGCUAUCUAUUUAAUUGAAAGAAGUUAAUUGAAUGAAAAUGAUCAACUAAGCUUGUAUUAAUAUUGCUAAUGGAACUUUCUUCUUGGCCAUGUUUGGAGAAAGAUGUCAAGCUAGACUUUAGGAAGGGCCCAUUAAUGCUUGCACUUAACCUGAUGGGCUAAUUAAGGAAUGCUUAUUCAUCCUCCAAGUCCACGAGAGUCUCUCUCCAGCCCGUUCUGCCUGGUUUUACAACACAUUUCUCUUAGGAGCAUGAGCAUUAGCAGCAGCAGCCGUAACUGAUAAUGUUUUGAUUGCACUGAAUACAGUCCUAAUGCAUCGUUGAAUUUAUAAUU